UCAUAUGCUUAUCUCGAUGAUUAAGCCAUGCAUGCCUAAGUACAAGUACUUUUUACACACACGAAACCGUGGAUGGCUCAUUAUAACAGCUAUUAUCUGAGGGAGAUACGCCUUAACACAGGAUAACUGUGUUAAUUCUAGAGCUAAUACUAGAUAAACAGAUAUCGCGACUCACGAAGCGAUGGUUUUAUCCAACAAAGCCAAUUUGGCUGCAGUUGUACCAAUAGAUUAGAUGAAUCUAGAUAACUUUCUGAUCGAAACGGCCUUUGUGCUGUCGAUCCUUCCCUUUGAGUAGCUGACCUAUCAACCGUCGAUGGUAAGAUAAACGCUUACCAUGGUUAUAACGGGUAACGGGGAAUCAGGGUUCGAUUCCGGAGAGGGAGCCUGAGAGACGGCUACCACAUCCACGGAAGGCAGCAGGCGCGCAACAUACCCAUUGCUUGAAAAGUGAGGUUGUGAAGAUAAAUAACAAUAUGUGUUCAUCACGAAUGCAUAAUUGCAAUGAGCUAUAUGUAAAUGCUUUAUCGAGAAUCAAUUGGAGGGCAAGUCUGGUGCCAGCAGCCGCGGUAAUUCCAGCUCCAAUGGCGUAUAUUAAAGUUGUUGCAGUUAAAAAGCUCGUAGUCGAUAUUCAGGUAUCGUGUCUCUGAUUAUACUCUGUAUUGUCUUAGACGCUACCUCUCAAGGCUGUGUAUACUGCUUCUGUCCUUAACGGAUGGACUUAGUAACCGGUCGGUUUACUUUGAAUAAAAUAGAGUGCUUAAAGCAGGCUUUCGCCCGAAUAAUUGUGCAUGGAAUAAUAAAAUAGGACUUCGGUUCUAUUUAUUGGUUUUCGGAGCUGAAGUAAUGAAUAAAAGGGGCUGACGGGGAUGAACGUACGCUGGUGGGAGAGGUGAAAUUCGUGGAUCAUCAGCAGACGACCAAUUGCGAAAGCAUUCAUCCAGGAUGCCUUCUUUGAUCAAGAACGAAAGUCAGAGGAUCGAAGACGAUCAGAUACCGUCCUAGUUCUGACCAUAAACAAUGCCAUCUAAUGAUCCGUAACGGUUCAUUACUUCUCCAAGUGGGAAAUCUCCGGGAAACCAAAGUCUUUGGGUUCCGGGGGAAGUAUGGUUGCAAAGCUGAAACUUAAAGGAAUUGACGGAAGGGCACCACCAGGAGUGGAGCCUGCGGCUUAAUUUGACUCAACACGGGAAAUCUCACCCGGUCUGGACACUGUGAGGAUUGACAGAUUGAUAGCUCUUUCUUGAUUCGGUGGGUGGUGGUGCAUGGCCGUUCUUAGUUGGUGGAGCGAUUUGUCUGGUUAAUUCCGAUAACGAACGAGACUCAGUCCUGCUAAAUAUGUUUUUCGGUGUAAAUUAGCAGAAAUGAACUUCUUAGAGGUAUAAAUGACGUUCAGUCAAAAGAAAAUGAGCAAUAACAGGUCUGUGAUGCCCUUAGUUGUCCGGGGCCGCACGCGCGCUACAAUGGCAGUACCAACGAGUAUUUUUCCUAGCCUGAGAGGGCCGGGCAACCUGCUCAAUUACUGUCAUAUCUGGGAUAGUGGUUUGCAAUUUUUCCACUUGAACAAGGAAUUCCUAGUAAGUACGAGUCAUCAGCUCGUGCUGACUACGUCCCUGCCCUUUGUACACACCGCCCGUCGCUACUACCGAUUGAAUGGUUUAGUGAGAUUGUUGGAUUUGAACCUACGUAGUUGAUUCUGCCACGGAGCAGAGAAGACAAUCAAAUUUGAUCGUUUAGAGGAAGUAAAAGUCGUAACAAGGUUUCC
rnacentral:rRNA from 1 species